UGGUAGAUUAUUUGUUGUAUUUUUUAUUUUUUAAAGCGAAGUAUAAGGGAGUUAUACUCCAGUCUUGUAGGAGGCGGUAAUGUAACAUUUAUUGGAUGGCAACCGCCGUUAAACCUCGCCGAACAAGAAGAACAGGCCAGAGUGGCUCGCUUGAGAGUGUGCAGGCAGCAUAUAUAGCAGCAUUUUUGAUUGUGCGUCAAGAAUUCAGCAUAGCAAGUUUGUAUGAAGGUCUGGUUAUUAAAUGGAUAAAUAGGUUAAUCCAUUCUCCAUUUCAUGAAUUAAUUCACAGCUAAAUAGUAAUAUGCUCUUGUGACAAACAAACUCUGCUGCCCUGUUUCCAAUCGUCCACAUGGCUGGGAGAACCUAUUCAAAUAUAGAGAGCUGUGAAAGCCUGUCUGCAGAUGAAGAGUUCCCAAUGAACAGCAGUGGUUCUCAGUCCUGGUCCUGGGGACUCAAAGGGGUGCACAUUUUUGUUUUUGAUUUAGCACUACACAGCUGAUUCAAAUGAUCAACUCAUCAUCUAGCUUCAAGGGAUACCUUGCAACUGGAGAUUCCUUCAAAACGAUUGCCUACAGUUACCGUGUAGGGCACUGCACGGUUGUGUGACCAGGGCCAUCUUGGACUGCCUCCUGGGGGAAUUCAGGCAUGUGAAGUCUACCUGUGUCUUGCAUAACUUCAUGAGGACAGACACGAGGACCAGGAGGGGAUAUGCAGUUCGCUGCCGUGUGCCAGAGGAGAGGUCUGCUGCACUGCAGGAUGUUUCAAGGAUGGGGGCCAACAAUGCAGCGCGGGAGGCAAUCCGUGUGCGGGAGAUCUUCACCUCCUACUUCUUCGAAGAGGGUGCUGUUCCCUGGCAACACCAUAGACUACACUAUGCACAACCAAAGGCUCUUUUAAGAGCCAUCCACACUGCAAUAAGAGUAUUCUUCCAUUUACUUAGCGAUGUCAACUGCAGU